UUAAGUUCAGCGGGUAUCCCUACCUGAUCCGAGGUCAACCUUUGAUAAAUUGGGGGUUGCUGGCAAGCACACACCCGGAACUCCAGAAGCGAGAAGAAUUACUACGCUUGAAGCCGAAUGGCACCGCCACUGAUUUUAAGACACACCAGAACUGGUGAUGCCCAAUACCAAGCAGAGCUUGAGGGUUGUAAUGACGCUCG
rnacentral:misc_RNA from 1 species